rnacentral:rRNA from 1 species
GGAGCAUGUGGUUUAAUUCGAUGCAACGCGAAGAACCUUACCAAGGCUUGACAUAUACCGGAAACGUUCAGAAAUGUUCGCCCCGCAAGGUCGGUAUACAGGUGGUGCAUGGUUGUCGUCAGCUCGUGUCGUGAGAUGUUGGGUUAAGUCCCGCAACGAGCGCAACCCUCGUCGUAUGUUGCCAGCACGUAAUGGUGGGAACUCAUAUGAGACUGCCGGGGUCAACUCGGAGGAAGGUGGGGAUGACGUCAAAUCAUCAUGCCCCUUAUGUCUUGGGCUUCACGCAUGCUACAAUGGCUGGUACAAUGGGCUGCAAUACCGCGAGGUGGAGCGAAUCCCAAAAAGCCAGUCUCAGUUCGGAUUGGGGUCUGCAACUCGACCCCNGAAGUCGGAGUCGC